UCUUGGUCAUUUAGAGGAAGUAAAAGUCGUAACAAGGUUUCCGUAGGUGAACCUGCGGAAGGAUCAUUAUUGAAUAAACUUGGUUGGGUUGCUGCUGGCCCUUUGGGGCAUGUGCACGCCUAGCGCAAUUUUACCACCUGUGCACCUUUUGUAGACCUGGAUUUACCUCUCGAGGAAACUCGGUUUGAGGAUUGCUGUGCGCGAGCCAGCUUUCCUUGCAUCUCCGGUCUACGUUUUCACAUACCCCAUUCAACUGUAACAGAAUGUCUUUAAAUGGCCGUUGUGCCUUUAAUCAAAUACAACUUUCAACAACGGAUCUCUUGGCUCUCGCAUCGAUGAAGAACGCAGCGAAAUGCGAUAAGUAAUGUGAAUUGCAGAAUUCAGUGAAUCAUCGAAUCUUUGAACGCACCUUGCGCUCCUUGGUAUUCCGAGGAGCAUGCCUGUUUGAGUGUCAUUAAAUUCUCAACCUUUCAGGUUUUUGUUAACCUGCAAGGCUUGGAUGUGGGAGUUGCGGGCUUCUUCAGAAGUCGGCUCUCCUUAAAUGCAUUAGCAAGACCUUUGUUGACCAUCCCUGGUGUGAUAAUUAUCUACGCCAUAGAGAAUCAGCUUCAUUUAUGGGCUUUGCUUAUAACCGUCCUCACGGACAACUCCUGACAUUUUGACCUCAAAUCAGGUAGGACUACCCGCUGAACUUA
rnacentral:rRNA from 1 species